rnacentral:pre_miRNA from 1 species
UACGUACUCCCUCCGUUCUAAAAUUCUUGUCUUCGCUUUAUCUGAAUAUGAAUGUAUCUAGGCAUGUGUUAGUAUUUAGAUACAUCUAUUUAAAAAAAAAAAAACGUAAGACAAGAAUUUUAGGAUGGAGAGAGUAUUUU